rnacentral:rRNA from 1 species
UACGUAGGGCGCAAGCGUUGUCCGGAAUUAUUGGGCGUAAAGAGCUCGUAGGCGGCUUGUCACGUCGGGCGUGAAAGCCCGGGGCUUAACCCCGGGUCUGCAUUCGAUACGGGCAGGCUAGAGUGUGGUAGGGGAGAUCGGAAUUCCUGGUGUAGCGGUGAAAUGCGCAGAUAUCAGGAGGAACACCGGUGGCGAAGGCGGAUCUCUGGGCCGAUACUGACGCUGAGGAGCGAAAGCGUGGGGAGCGAACAGG